rnacentral:rRNA from 1 species
UACGAAGGGGGCUAGCGUUGCUCGGAAUCACUGGGCGUAAGGGUGCGUAGGCGGGUUUUAAGUCAGGGGUGAAAUCCUGGAGCUCAACUCCAGAACUGCCUUUGAUACUGAGAAUCUUGAGUACGGGAGAGGUGAGUGGAACUGCGAGUGUAGAGGUGAAAUUCGUAGAUAUUCGCAAGAACACCAGUGGCGAAGGCGGCUCACUGGCCCGGUACUGACGCUGAGGCGCGAAAGCGUGGGAGCAAACAGG